rnacentral:rRNA from 1 species
AUACGGAGGGUGCAAGCGUUACUCGGAAUCACUGGGCGUAAAGCGCGCGCAGGCGGCUUGAUAAGUUGGAUGUGAAAGUCUACGGCUCAACCGUAGAACUGCAUCCAAAACUGUCAAGCUAGAGUCUGGGAGGGGAAGAUGGAAUUAGUUGUGUAGGGGUAAAAUCCGUAGAGAUAACUAGGAAUACCAAAAGCGAAGGCAAUCUUCUGGAACACUACUGACGCUGAGGCGCGAAAGCGUGGGAGCAAACAGGAUUAGAUACCCCGGUAGUCC